AUAACGAUAUCUAAUUCUCUUGGUGUUAAUGAGCUGGUGAUUCCUGCAAUACCUGAACUUUACAAAACAUGGACCAAAGUGCUUGGCUUCAAGCAACUUGAUGAAUCGUUGAGGCAUGCAAUGAAGGGUAUGCGUUUGAUAGUGUUUCCUGUUAAAGAUAUAUGCUUCGCCAACCUCUCCUAAAGAAUCAGUUUGCUGAUAAGAAUCUUAUUUCAGUGCAGGUUGAAGUGAAAAGGAUACUUCCCAGAGAGGAUACACAGGGAAGUUGAGGUGUAUCAAGAACAAAGAAAAUAUUUGUUGGUGAUGAAUUGGGGGAAUAGUUUUCCAUAUAUGGUGGUAUUGUUGAGCAUUAGAUCAUUUCACGGGUUGAUCACCAGGCUUUGGCUUUGUCACAUUUGACAACAAAGAAGUUGUGGAUUAGUUAUUUGUUGAUGGUCAACUACAUGAACUAGGAGAGGCAAACAAGUUGAGAUAAAGAUGGCUGAGC
rnacentral:lncRNA from 1 species